AUACGUAGGUGGCGAGCGUUAUCCGGAAUUACUGGGCGUAAAGCGCAAGCAGGCGGCGCAUUAAGUUUGACGUGAAAUCUCCUGGCUUAACUGGGAGAAGCCGUUGAAAACUGGUGUGCUUGAGGUGAUGAGAGGGGUGUGGAAUUCCCGGUGUAGUGGUGGAAUGCGUAGAUAUCGGGAGGAACACCAGAGGCGAAAGCGACACCCUGGCAUUGGCCUGACGCUGAGAUGCGAAAGCGUGGGGAGC
rnacentral:rRNA from 1 species